UAAAGCAAGCUCCAGGAGGCACAUUC
rnacentral:piRNA from 1 species